CCCACCGAUCCUGCUGGGAGUUCGUUGGUAUCUGGACGGUGAACUUCUCAAAGAGUUGCCCGAUUGUCCAGUCAACGAGACGAUCACUGCAUUUUCCAUGUACGACGAAGAUCUGUGUGACGUGGAUCCCAGCAAGUUACUUCUCGAGUAUGUCGGCCGCUCCUUCCAAGGGAAUUACUCUUGCGAGGGUAUGAACGCCGCUGGAUGGGGACCUUCGUCCGAUGUCGUGACUCUCGUCAUUUACUAUCCACCGGGUAAUACGACACUUAUCUUCGAGCCUGAUGUGGUCGUGAAAGACGAGCCAAUGGACUUUAACGUGCGGGGUCUCAGACGUUGGUCAGCCGGCUGUGACACAGUACAGAUGGACGCGCAACGGACACGUCAUUCCAGAGAUUAGUGAUGCCCAAUGGAAUGUCAGCCAAGUGACGCUGAAUUAUCAAGCCAACUACUCGUGUACACCAGUCAACGAGGCCGGCGAGGGCGAGACGGCCACUGUCGAAGUCGAGGUCUACGCUGGGCCAACGUUUAUUGAGCGACUUCCGCCAACAUCAGACGCCCCUCUCUGAUGCUGCCGACGCUACCAAAUUAUCGUGUCGCGUUGAGUGUUACCCGCUCUGUCAGAUCGAUUGGUUCCGCAACGGAUUGCCCAUCCGAGAAUC